AGCUUUGCACAGUGGCAGUAUCGUAGCCAAUGAGGUUUAUCUGAGGCGCGAUUAUUGCUCAUUGAAAAACUACGUAAGAGCUC
rnacentral:snRNA from 1 species